UACGUAGGGGGCAAGCGUUGUCCGGAUUUAUUGGGCGUAAAGAGCGUGUAGGCGGCCAUGUAGGUCCGGUGUGAAAACUCGAGGCUUAACCUCGAGAUGUCAUCGGAAACCAUUUGGCUAGAGUCCGGAAGAGGAGAGUGGAAUUCCUGGUGUAGCGGUGAAAUGCGCAGAUAUCAGGAGGAACACCGGUGGCGAAGGCGGGUCUCUGGGCCGAUACUGACGCUGAGGAGCGAAAGCGUGGGGAGCGAACAGG
rnacentral:rRNA from 1 species